rnacentral:rRNA from 1 species
UACGGGGGGAGCAAGCGUUGUUCGGAUUUACUGGGCGUAAAGGGCGCGUAGGCGGUCAGCACAAGUCAGUUGUGAAAUCUCCGGGCUUAACUCGGAAAGGUCAACUGAUACUGUGCGACUAGAGUGCAGAAGGGGCAACUGGAAUUCUCGGUGUAGCGGUGAAAUGCGUAGAUAUCGUAAGGAAGACCAGUGGCGAAGGCGAAUCUCUGGACAGUUACUGACACUGAGGCACGAAGGCCAGGGGAGCAAACGGG